rnacentral:ncRNA from 1 species
CGUGGGCGUCGCGACUGGCGUUGAGGUGGGUACCCACCGGGGAGCGACCGACACGGCAUCGACCGCACGCCUGGGCCGGGCCU